rnacentral:rRNA from 1 species
UGCACCCUACGGGACGCAGCAGUCGGGAAUAUUGGUCAAUGGCCGGAAGGCUGAACCAGCCAAGCCGCGUGAAGGACGAAGGUGCCAAGCAUUGUAAACUUCUUUUGUCAAGGGACAAAAUCAGGCUCGAGAGCCUGAUCGAGGGUACUUGAAGAAAAAGCAUCGGCUAACUCCGUGCCAGCAGCCGCGGUAAUACGGAGGAUGCGAGCGUUAUCCGGAUUUAUUGGGUUUAAAGGGUGCGUAGGCGGGCUGUUAAGUCAGCGGUAAAAGCCCGGGGCUCAACCCCGGCGAGCCGUUGAAACUGG